rnacentral:RNase_P_RNA from 1 species
GGCAGAGAGAGCCCGGUUCCCGUGUCCCGCCGGUUCCGCCGGCCGCGGACAUGAGGAAAGUCCCCCCACCGUCCGAACGGGUGACCGGGCGCAAGCCCGGAGUCGGAGACGACUGGCUCUGGAACAGAAACGAGACCCCUCGGUCCGACCGAUGAGACGCGCAGGUGGACGUCCGUCCACCGGCGGCGCGAGCGGGGUGACCCGCGAGCGUGCGAACCGACCCGCAAGGGGAGGGAGUUGACCCGUCGAGGGUAGCGGGGCCGCUCUGCGGCCGCGGACGGUAAACGGCGUCGGCCGUGAACCGCGAGACGGCGGCAGCCGUCUCGGAGGCAUCUCGCCUCUUCCCGCGCGGUUUCCACCGCGCGGAGACGACCGAGAACGGGUGGAACGGCGAAACCUCACCGGUGCAAGUCCGCGCCGCUAAGGUAGUUCGGACAGCGCGUUCGGGUUCGCCCGGCGCGCCCCCGAGAGGGGAGGACGCGGACGCUCAGCCGAAUGCCGGGUAAAAACAGAAGGGGGCUUACUCCUCUCAGCC